rnacentral:rRNA from 1 species
UGGGGAAUUUUGGACAAUGGGGGAAACCCUGAUCCAGCCAUCCCGCGUGUGCGAUGAAGGCCUUCGGGUUGUAAAGCACUUUUGGCAGGAAAGAAACGUCGCGGGUUAAUACCCCGCGAAACUGACGGUACCUGCAGAAUAAGCACCGGCUAACUACGUGCCAGCAGCCGCGGUAAUACGUAGGGUGCAAGCGUUAAUCGGAAUUACUGGGCGUAAAGCGUGCGCAGGCGGUUCGGAAAGAAAGAUGUGAAAUCCCAGAGCUUAACUUUGGAACUGCAUUUUUAACUACCGGGCUAGAGUGUGUCAGAGGGAGGUGGAAUUCCGCGUGUAGCAGUGAAAUGCGUAGAUAUGCGGAGGAACACCGAUGGCGAAGGCAGCCUCCUGGGAUAACACUGACGCUCAUGCACGAAAGCGUGGGGAGCAAACAGGAUUAGAUACCCUGGUAGUCCACGCCCUAAACGAUGUCAACUAGCUGUUGGGGGCCUUCGGGCCUUGGUAGCGCAGCUAACGCGUGAAGUUGACCGCCUGGGGAGUACGGUCGCAAGAUUAAAAACUUAAAUG